rnacentral:rRNA from 1 species
GGAGUUUGGACCGUGUCUCAGUUCCAAUGUGGGGGACCUUCCUCUCAGAACCCCUACUGAUCGUCGCCUUGGUGGGCCGUUACCCCGCCAACAAGCUAAUCAGACGCAUCCCCAUCCCUUAGCGAUAAAUCUUUGUUCCCAAUCAAAUGCUCUCAAAGGAAUACAUAGGGUAUUAAUCCGACUUUCGCCGGGCUAUGCCCUACUAAGGGGAAGGUUGGAUACGCGUUACUCACCCGUGCGCCGGUCGCCAUCAAUCUUAGCAAGCUAAGAUCAUGCUGCCCCUCGACUUGCAUGUGUUAAGCCUGUAGCUAGCGUUCAUC